rnacentral:rRNA from 1 species
UACGAAGGGGGCUAGCGUUGCUCGGAAUUACUGGGCGUAAAGCGCACGUAGGCGGUCUUUUAAGUCGGGGGUGAAAUCCUGGAGCUCAACUCCAGAACUGCCUUCGAUACUGGAAGACUUGAGUCCGGGAGAGGUGAGUGGAACUGCGAGUGUAGAGGUGAAAUUCGUAGAUAUUCGCAAGAACACCAGUGGCGAAGGCGGCUCACUGGCCCGGUACUGAGGCUGAGGUGCGAAAGCGUGGGGAGCAAACAGG